rnacentral:rRNA from 1 species
ACUAACUCAUCUAUGUGGCAAAAUAGUGAGAAGAUUUGUAAGUAGAGGUGACAUGCCUAACGAGCCUGGUGAUAGCUGGUUGUCCAGAAAAUGAAUCUAAGUUCAGCUUUAAAGAUACCAAAAAUUCAAAUAAACCCCACUGUAGCUUUAAAAGUUAGUCUAAAAAGGUACAGCCUUUUAGAAACGGAUACAACCUUGACUAGAGAGUAAAAUUUAACACUACCAUAGUAGGCCUAAAAGCAGCCAUCAAUUAAGAAAGCGUUAAAGCUCAACAACAAAAAUUAAAUAGAUUCCAACAACAAAUGAUUAACUCCUAGCCCCCAAUACUGGACUAAUCUAUUAUAGAAUAGAAGCAAUAAUGUUAAUAUGAGUAACAAGAAAAAUUUUCUCCUUGCAUAAGUCUAAGUCAGUGCCUGAUAAUACUCUGACCACUAACAGUCAAUAAAAAUAAUCCAACAAUAAACAAUUUAUUGAUUAUACUGUUAACCCAACACAGGAGUGCAUCUAAGGAAAGAUUAAAAGAAGUAAAAGGAACUCGGCAAACACAAACCCCGCCUGUUUACCAAAAACAUCACCUCCAGCAUUCCCAGUAUUGGAGGCAUUGCCUGCCCAGUGACAACUGUUUAACGGCCGCGGUAUCCUGACCGUGCAAAGGUAGCAUAAUCAUUUGUUCUCUAAAUAAGGACUUGUAUGAAUGGCCGCACGAGGGUUUUACUGUCUCUUACUUCCAAUCAGUGAAAUUGACCUUCCCGUGAAGAGGCGGGAAUGCACAAAUAAGACGAGAAGACCCUAUGGAGCUUUAACUAACCAACCCAAAGAGAAUAGAUUUAACCAUUAAGGAAUAACAACAAUCUCCAUGAGUUGGUAGUUUCGGUUGGGGUGACCUCGGAGAAUAAAAAAUCCUCCGAGCGAUUUUAAAGACUAGACCCACAAGUCAAAUCACUCUAUCGCUCAUUGAUCCAAAUACUUGAUCAACGGA